AAGCAUUACAUUUCUCUACAAUGAUGAACACGAGUGCAUUUGGCUCGAGACGUUUUUGUCGAUGUGGAAAAACCCAAGCUACCUUAUUUUUUUUUGUCUGAAU
rnacentral:snoRNA from 1 species